rnacentral:rRNA from 1 species
UUGGGGAUUUAUAUAAAAGGUUGGGCCUGCCCGGUGAUCUAAAAUGGUUUAACGGCUGCGAUUGAAACCGUACUAAGGUAGCAUAAUAAUUUGCCCUUUAAUUGGGGGAGAGAAUGAAUGGUUUGACGGUAAAAAAGCUGUUUUAAAAAUAAAAAAAGAAGUUAACUUUUAAGUGAAAAGGCUUAAGUUUUUAUAAAAGACGAGAAGACCCCGUCGAGCUUAAUUAGAAUAACUUAAAUGUAGGUUAUUUAAAAUUUUAUUGGGGCAAUAGAAAAUGAAAUGAAUCAUUUUUUUUAUUAUAAGGAUCCAGUUUUGACUGAAAAAAGCAAAAGCUACCGCGGGGAUAACAGGGUAAUUUUUUCUGAGAGUUCAUAUUUAAGAAGAAGUUUGCUACCUCGAUGUUGGAUUAGAAUUUCUUUAUGCUUGCAGCAGGUAUAAUAGU